CUUUGACUUCUAAGAGCAAGAGUUCUCAUGAAAUUAGGGAAGGUCGUAGAUCACUUCUUUAUAUACAGCGUCUUGAUUGAUUGAUUCCCGUUUGCUUUGCUUGCCGAACUGUGCGCUUGUAGCUUUUGGUAGCCUGUACUUGAGGGCAAGUCGCUCUAAAGGUAGACUCGGUGAAAGCUGUUAGGGCAUAGGUGAUUGCUUAUAUGAAAUUAUUUGGAGAUUCAUUCAUCUCGAUGCACUGUGCUUUAUUGCUUCUUCCCACCCUCCACCCAUCGAAUCGAAUUCAUUUUCAUUUGUUUUCUCUCGAGGUCAUGCCUUUAUCAUUUUUGCUAUGGACUUUAACAAAUAGAGGCAGAGCCACACCGAAAGGUGACUAAGAAAAGGGCUCUG
rnacentral:lncRNA from 1 species